CACGUAGGGCGCAAGCGUUGUCCGGAAUUACUGGGCGUAAAGAGCUCGUAGGUGGUUUGUCGCGUUGUCCGUGAAAACUCACAACUCAAUUGUGGGCGUGCGGGCGAUACGGGCAGACUGGAGUACUGCAGGGGAGACUGGAAUUCCUGGUGUAGCGGUGGAAUGCGCAGAUAUCAGGAGGAACACCGGUGGCGAAGGCGGGUCUCUGGGCAGUAACUGACGCUGAGGAGCGAAAGCGUGGGGAGCGAACAGG
rnacentral:rRNA from 1 species